rnacentral:rRNA from 1 species
GAGGAAUAUUGGUCAAUGGACGGAAGUCUGAACCAGCCAAGUAGCGUGCAGGAUGACGGCCCUAUGGGUUGUAAACUGCUUUUGUAUGGGGAUAAAGUUAGGGACGUGUCCCUAUUUGCAGGUACCAUACGAAUAAGGACCGGCUAAUUCCGUGCCAGCAGCCGCGGUAAUACGGAAGGUCCAGGCGUUAUCCGGAUUUAUCGGGUUUAAAGGGAGCGUAGGCUGGAGAUUAAGUGUGUUGUGAAAUGUAGACGCUCAACGUCUGAAUUGCAGCGCAUACUGGUUUCCUUGAGUACGCACAACGUUGGCGGAAUUCGUCGUGUAGCGGUGAAAUGCUUAGAUAUGACGAAGAACUCCGAUUGCGAAGGCAGCUGACGGGAGCGCAACUGACGCUUAAGCUCGAAGGUGCGGGUAUCAAACAGGAUUAGAUACCCUGGUAGUCCGCACAGUAAACGAUGGAUGCCCGCUGUUGGUACCUGGUAUCAGCGGCUAAGCGAAAGCAUUAAGCAUCCCACCUGGGGAGUACGCCGGCAACGGUG